AGAUUGAACGCUGGCGGCAUGCCUUACACAUGCAAGUCGAACGGCAGCACGGGAGCAAUCCUGGUGGCGAGUGGCGAACGGGUGAGUAAUACAUCGGAACGUGCCCAGUAGUGGGGGGUAACCCGGCGAAAGCCGGACUAAUACCGCAUACGACCUACGGGUGAAAGCGGGGGAUCGCAAGACCUGCGCUAUCGGAGCGGCGAUGUCAGAUUAGCUUGUUGGCGGGUAAAAGCCCACAAGGCGACGAUCUGUAGCUGGCUGAGAGGACGACCAGCCACACGUGGGACUGAGACACCGGGCCCAGGACCUCGUACGGGAGCAGGCGAGGUGGGUAAUUUGGACAGUGGC
rnacentral:rRNA from 1 species